GAUGAACGCUGGCGGCGUGCCUAAUACAUGCAAGUCGAGCGAACAGACGAGGAGCUUGCUCCUCUGACGUUAGCGGCGGACGGGUGAGUAACACGUGGAUAACCUACCUAUAAGACUGGGAUAACUUCGGGAAACCGGAGCUAAUACCGGAUAAUAUAUUGAACCGCAUGGUUCAAUAGUGAAAGACGGUUUUGCUGUCACUUAUAGAGGGAUCCGCGCCGCAUUAGCUAGUUGGUAAGGUAACGGCUUACCAAGGCGACGAUGCGUAGCCGACGUGAGAGAGUGAUCGCCCGCACUGGAACUGAGACACGGUCCAGACUACUACGGGAGGCAGCAGUAGGGAAUCUGCCGCAAUGGGCGAAAGCCUGACGGAGCAACGCCGCGUGAGUGAUGAAGGUCUUCGGAUCGUAAAACUCUGUUAUUAGGGAAGAACAAAUGUGUAAGUAACUAUGCACGUCUUGACGGUACCUAAUCAGAAAGCAACGGCUAACUACGUG
rnacentral:rRNA from 1 species